ACUAUUUUGGCAGAUUAGUGCAAUAAAUUUAGAAUUUAUAUAUGUAAUAAGUUUAAUUACAAAUAGUA
rnacentral:tRNA from 1 species